rnacentral:lncRNA from 1 species
AUAUGUAUACCAACUCUGUUGACAACAGCAUAUUUUUAUGUAAAAACUUUUAUAAGAAAAAUGUUCAGAAUGGUGUGUUCUUACCAUGACAGAAAAGAUUCUUUCAGACCCUUUUCCAAAAGUUUUGAGUAAAUGAUAUCUCUUACUUAAUGAACCAAGGCAGGUUAGGAAGUUGGACUUCCAGACAGGGGUCAUGUGCUGGCAAAAAAAUGUCCUUCCGGGCAUGGGCUGAUAUUCAUUUCAGAGCUGAGUUGAAUCCUGACCCUUGUACAUAUUUAGGGCUGGGAGGGCACCAGCAGGAUCUUUAUUCUUCCCAAUUCCAGUUUCUUAGAACAUAGUAAUAAUUUCACUUACAAUGUAGCUUUCGAGCCCAUGACAGUAAAUUCAGGAGCACACCUAAUACCAGGUGUUAGGUACGAUGGUCCAUUUUGAUUGUUCAUUCAGUUGAGAUAAUAAACAUAUAUAGAUUAGCGUGCCAAUAAGGGCAUUUCCAGAGACAGGAAGAUGGUGAGGGUUCUGCCCUAAUAAACAGAUUGGUCCCUCCAUGGAUUUUCACUACAAUGUCAUUACUGAGAAGUGGUAGAAGGUAGGAGGCAGGGCCAAGUUGGAAGGACGAUGUCAUUGGGGUGUAUUCCUGUAGCUAUAUCAAUACUGGUCCUUUCUUUUCUUUCCCCAUUCUCUCCUCCCUGGUAAGGACUUUUCUGCUUUGCUACAGCCUAUGGAAGUAGCCCUUGUAUCAUGGUUACAGUGAUGAAAAACAAAUGACUUAGUGACAGCUUGAGCUCAGCUCUUAGCCUCUGACUAAAUAGAAGGAUUACUAUCAGAUUAACAGAAACCUAAACUUGGCAUCUCUCAGAAAUCUUGUCAAGCCAUUUACUGUUUGUCAGGAAAGCUAUUUCUUCCCUUAUCCACCUGCAACAGUCAACUGCCUUCAGCAAGGUGCACCUAGCUCUUGAUUAGCUCCAACAAUCUACCUCAGUUCAAAGUUUCCAUGCUAUCCUACAGGUUGUUAUGGCCUGCAUCUCAUCUUCUCCUGCUCUGUCAGGCUGUUCGGGCUCAUGCGCUUUUCCUCUUGUCCCCUAUAAAACUGGCAAAGCUCUUCCUGCUGCCACCCCCCCCCCACCCCCCCACCCCCCGCCCCAGCAGUCUAAAUCCCCAAAUAAACUGUUUUUCCCCUCAUGGAGUGUUCUAGUCUAGUGGUUUCAUAUCAUUCCUGCUCAUAUCCUGCAGAUGAAACUGUAUCUGGCAGGAGCCUAAGAAGAUUCUGUUGGUCAAAGUGGUGAUGGUCAAACGUGUAUAAUAGGCUUUCUUAUUUCUGGUAGUGUAGACCAAUGUGUGUAUGGUGAAAUCCAUGGAUUUUAGUAGAUUUUUCUUCAAACACAGGGAAGCUGCUUGAUUAGCUUUGCAAGCAAAUGGGGUUGAAUCUAGGGUGCAUUUUUGUCCAGUUUUAUUGUUUUGGGCACUACUGUUACCUGCGAACCAGCCAUCUCACCAUUUUCAUUGCAUAUGGUAACAUGGCUCCUCAAGCCCAAGGGUUUUCUCAGUAUACAAAGCAUCUCUGACUGCGAAUGACAGUGUGGACAGUUAUUAGCAAGUUCAAUCUGCUUACUGUAUGUCACCUGCUGGAUAGCUGAAGGAAACAGAAGGCACUACUUGCAGGCCACAAUGAAGUGGGUGGAAUGUGUGGAAAGACACAUCCAAAACAUUAGUAGUGAAAUCCUUAUGUGCUAGAACAAGGCAAUUUCUCAAUUCAUCUGUCCUGCUCUUUUCAUACAGGACUUUGGAUCCAGAUGAAGCAUGCCGGAGUUCUAAAUACCUCAAGAUUUUAUUUUAUUUUACUUUUUGAUGGAAUGGUAAUAGACAGAAAAUGAUGACAGAAAAAGUUCUUAUCAAUUUCACAUCCUAUUACAAUUGAAAUACACUGAAUAUAGUUGUAUUGCUUUACUGCAAGAAAUAUUUGAAUUGCUAAACAAAUCAACUCCACCCUCUGAUUGUUAAAUCUCUUCAAGGAAGGUGGCAGGCAUGGAAGAUGAGGCUUUAGAAAUAUGCUGUAGCAACUCCACUAUCAAACUACACCUAACCUUGAAAUUCAGUCUUUCUUUGCAAAGCAAAGGCUGCUACUGAGAAUUUGAACCACGAGGUAUGGAGUUUUACACUGAAUCUUCAACCCACUUUCCUGAGCUUUCUAUCUCCAGUCAUCUGGAUUCCUUUUGUACUUUCUUUGUUAUUCAUGGGUAUUUUCCCUUCACACUCCAUACUUGCGGUUCCUCUGCCUGCCAUGUCGUUUACCAGUGUCUCGACCAAUCUGGAACUCACACUUUUCCAGGAAAUACAAGGUGGAUAGCAAACCUUCUUGCUGUUUCUACAGGAGAAAUUGUAUAUUUACAUGUCAUAAUACCUGUCAUUUGCCUCAUGUCCUCACUGAAUUCAAGACCUCAGGAAGUUUGUUCUGAUUAGAAAUAUGUGAUGGGAAAGGGCAGAUCUUGCUAAGUCCCAGUAGAAUUGAUACAAUUCUAUGACAAAUUUGUAUCAUGAACUGUAGAUACAACUUUCUCAUAGACAGCAAAAACCAAGGUAGGAUGUAAAACAUACUAAAUUAAGUAGACACUAAGAUACUGGCUGAGCAGCUCGCAUCGCUUUCCCAGAACACAUAUGAGCAUUUCGUGUAAGCUUAGUGACUGAAAGUACGUGGUGCUCCCUGAAAGCAAACCUAAUUUAAGCCCAGCUCCCGCUUUGAUCCAGACUUCUCUUUAGUUAAUUUGAGUAAAUUUUACAUUGCCUAUGAGGAACAAUCAUAUUUAAGAGAUGUGUAAGUCUGGCUAGAAACUCAAAAGUAGAGAAUACUGAUGACUUAGGAAAACAAAAGCAGGUAGCCUAGAAUUAUCACAUUUUUUGAACCUACCUUGCAUAAAUGU